UUUGUAUAAUGGGUCAGCGACUUAUAUUCAGUGGCAAGGUUAACCAUCUAGGGGAGCCGUAGGGAAACCGAGUCUUAACUGGGCGUUCAGUCUCUGGAUAUAGACCCGAAACCAGGUGAUCUAGCCAUGGGCAGGUUGAAGGUUGAGUAACAUCAACUGGAGGACCGAACCGACUAAUGUUGAAAAAUUAGCGGAUGACUUGUGGCUAGGGGUGAAAGGCCAAUCAAACCUGGAGAUAGCUGGUUCUCCCCGAAAGCUAUUUAGGUAGCGCCUCGGACGAAUACUACUGGGGGUAGAGCACUGUUAAGGCUAGGGGGUCAUCCCGACUUACCAACCCUUUGCAAACUCCGAAUACCAGUAAGUACUAUCCGGGAGACACACGGCGGGUGCUAACGUCCGUCGUGGAGAGGGAAACAACCCAGACCGCCAGCUAAGGUCCCAAAUUACUACUAAGUGGGAAACGAUGUGGGAAGGCUCAGACAGCCAGGAUGUUGGCUUAGAAGCAGCCAUCAUUUAAAGAAAGCGUAAUAGCUCACUGGUCGAGUCGGCCUGCGCGGAAGAUGUAACGGGGCUAAGUAGUAAACCGAAGCUGCGGCAAUACUCUUUGAGUAUUGGGUAGGGGAGCGUUCUGUAAGCGGUUGAAGGUGUGUGGUAACGCAUGCUGGACGUAUCAGAAGUGCGAAUGCUGACAUGAGUAACGAUAAAGGGGGUGAAAAACCUCCUCGCCGGAAGACCAAGGGUUCCUGUCCAACGUUAAUCGGGGCAGGGUAAGUCGACCCCUAAGGCGAGGCCGAAAGGCGUAGUCGAUGGGAAACGGGUUAAUAUUCCCGUACUUCUUACAAUUGCGAUGGGGGGACGGAGAAGGCUAGGUGGGCCUGGCGACGGUUGUCCAGGUUCAAGUGCGUAGGCUUAAGAGUUAGGUAAAUCCGGCUCUUUCUAAGGCUGAGACACGACGUCGAGCACCUACGGGUGUGAAGUCAUUGAUGCCAUGCUUCCAGGAAAAGCCUCUAAGCUUCAGAUUGUAAGGAAUCGUACCCCAAACCGACACAGGUGGUCGGGUAGAGAAUACCAAGGCGCUUGAGAGAACUCGGGUGAAGGAACUAGGCAAAAUGGUACCGUAACUUCGGGAGAAGGUACGCUCUUGAUGGUGAAGUCCCUUGCGGAUGGAGCUGACGAGAGUCGCAGAUACCAGGUGGCUGCAACUGUUUAUUAAAAACACAGCACUGUGCAAAAUCGUAAGAUGACGUAUACGGUGUGACGCCUGCCCGGUGCCGGAAGGUUAAUUGAUGGGGUUAGACUUCGGUCGAAGCUCUUGAUCGAAGCCCCGGUAAACGGCGGCCGUAACUAUAACGGUCCUAAGGUAGCGAAAUUCCUUGUCGGGUAAGUUCCGACCUGCACGAAUGGCGUAAUGAUGGCCACGCUGUCUCCACCCGAGACUCAGUGAAAUUGAAAUCGCUGUGAAGAUGCAGUGUACCCGCGGCUAGACGGAAAGACCCCGUGAACCUUUACUACAGCUUGGCACUGAACAUUGACCCUACAUGUGUAGGAUAGGUGGGAGGCUUUGAAGCACGUACGCCAGUAUGUGUGGAGCCGUCCUUGAAAUACCACCCUUGUAGUGUUGAUGUUCUAACGUCGACCCCUUAUCGGGGUUGCGGACAGUGCCUGGUGGGUAGUUUGACUGGGGCGGUCUCCUCCCAAAGAGUAACGGAGGAGCACGAAGGUGGGCUAAUCACGGUUGGACAUCGUGAGGUUAGUGCAAUGGCAUAAGCCCGCUUGACUGCGAGAAUGACAAUUCGAGCAGGUGCGAAAGCAGGUCAUAGUGAUCCGGUGGUUCUGAAUGGAAGGGCCAUCGCUCAACGGAUAAAAGGUACUCCGGGGAUAACAGGCUGAUACCGCCCAAGAGUUCAUAUCGACGGCGGUGUUUGGCACCUCGAUGUCGGCUCAUCACAUCCUGGGGCUGAAGUCGGUCCCAAGGGUAUGGCUGUUCGCCAUUUAAAGUGGUACGCGAGCUGGGUUUAGAACGUCGUGAGACAGUUCGGUCCCUAUCUGCCGUGGGCGUUGGAAGAUUGAAGGGGGCUGCUCCUAGUACGAGAGGACCGGAGUGGACGAACCUCUGGUGUUCGGGUUGUGUCGCCAGACGCAUUGCCCGGUAGCUAAGUUCGGAAUCGAUAACCGCUGAAAGCAUCUAAGCGGGAAGCGAGCCCUGAGAUGAGUCUUCCCUGAUACUUUAAGUAUCCUAAAGGGUUGUCGGAGACUACGACGUUGAUAGGUCAGGUGUGUAAGUGCUGUGAGGCAUUGAGCUAACUGAUACUAAUUGCCCGUGAGGCUUAACCAU
rnacentral:rRNA from 1 species